GACGAACGCUGGCGGCGUGCUUAACACAUGCAAGUCGAACGCUGAAGCUCAGCUUGCUGGGUGGAUGAGUGGCGAACGGGUGAGUAACACGUGAGUAACCUGCCCUCUUCUUUGGGAUAACGCCCGGAAACGGGUGCUAAUACUGGAUAUUCACUGAUUCUCGCAUGGGGGUUGGUGGAAAGGUUUUUUCUGGUGGGGGAUGGGGUCGCGGCCGAUCAGCUUGUUGGUGGGGUGAUGGCCUACCAAGGCUUUGACGGGUAGCCGGCCUGAUAGGGUGCCCGGUCACAUUGGGACUGAGAUACGGCCAGACUCCUACGGGAGGCAGCAGUGGGGAGCAUUGGACAGGAGGCGAGAGCCUGAUGCAGCGGCGCGGCGUGAGGGAUGGGGGCCUUCGGGUUGGAAACCUCUUUCGCUCAUGGUCAAGCCGCAGGUUUGGGUUGUGGUGAGGGUAGUGGGUAAAGAAGCGCCGGCUAACUACGUG
rnacentral:rRNA from 1 species